AUCCACGUCGCCUUACAGAUUGACGAGGCAAGUUCACGCAUCCGUAACCAUUUGGCUUUCCAAUUUCAGAUUUUGCGCUCUUGGCAUAAUCACUUCCGAUUAAACAAAAUGUCUCUCCCAAAAUUUUAGUUACCAUAAUAUCAGUUUCCGAGAUUUAACGAAUUCGAAAGAAGCUUUGGAUGAUGACGACGACGACAAUGAAGAGGAAAGCUGCCAGUUAUCUCUUCAGAUACUCUCGAAAUUUUCACUCCGAUCAGCGUUUGAAUCUGAAUCACAACAAUUCGCGUCUGCUUUCAGGAACUUUCUUGUGCUGCAAAACGCCUAUCAUUAGAGACAGCACGCCAAUUUCACAAUAUUGCAGAGACGCUUAUCAUGCUUCUGCGAUCAAUCAUUUUAGAAUGGCUAGUGGAUUUCAGUUCAGACGCUUUGCUUCAUUAUCGUCAGUGGUUCAGAGAAAUCCUUCUUUUUCGAGAUUAAAUUCUGAUGAUAUCGACUUUUUUCGGAGUAUUUUGGGGGAGAAAAAUGUAAUUCAGGAUGAGGAUAGGCUUUUGGAUGCAAAUACUGAUUGGUUGCGGAAGUACAGAGGGUCGAGUAAGCUUUUACUUCAACCUAGGAGCACAGAAGAGGUCUCCCAGAUACUUAAAUAUUGUAACUCCAGAGACUUGCCUGUUGUACCCCAAGGUGGAAAUACUGGUCUUGUUGGCGGAAGUGUUCCAGUUUUUGAUGAAGUAAUAAUCAACCUUGGAUUAAUGAAUGACAUCAUAUCUUUUGACAAGGUCAGUGGCAUACUUGUUUGUGAAGCCGGUGGCAUCUUAGAAAACUUGUCUUCCUUCCUGGACAACCAAGGAUUUAUAAUGCCACUGGACUUAGGUGCUAAAGGAAGCUGCCAGAUUGGUGGAAAUGUUUCUACAAAUGCCGGCGGUUUGCGUCUUGUUCGUUAUGGAUCUCUUCAUGGCAGUGUACUUGGACUUGAAGUUGUUUUAGCAGAUGGUAGCGUGCUCGACAUGCUGACAACUUUAAGAAAAGAUAACACUGGAUAUGAUUUGAAGCAUUUAUUUAUAGGUAGUGAAGGUACCUUGGGAAUUAUAACCAAGAUUUCAAUUCUCACCCCAUCUAAACUACCUGCUACUAAUGUAGCAUUUCUUGGAUGUAAAGAUUACUCGAGCUGCCAGAAACUUCUAGUGGAUGCAAAAAGGAAACUUGGGGAGAUUCUUUCAGCAUUUGAAUUUCUGGAUAACAUGUCGAUGGAUGUGGUUCUCAAUCAUUUAGAAGGUACACGGAAUCCAUUGCCUUCGACAAUGCACAACUUUUAUGUUUUGAUCGAGACGACAGGCAGUAAUGAUUCAUAUGACAAGGAAAAGCUUGAAGCAUUUCUACUUCGUUCGAUGGAAGAUGGUUUAAUCUCUGACGGUGUUCUUGCACAAGAUAUCAACCAAAUAUCCUCUUUUUGGCAGAUCCGUGAGGGCAUUUCAGAGGCAUUGAUGAAAGCAGGAGCUGUUUACAAAUAUGAUUUGUCGUUACCUGUUGAGAAGAUGUACGAUAUUGUCGAGGCAAUGCGAACACGACUUGGUAAGAGGCAACUCUGCUAUAGUAAUUGGUUACGGCCACCUUGGAGAUGGUAAUUUGCAUCUGAAUAUUUCAACUCCACAGUAUGAUGACGCGGUUUUGGCACAAAUUGAACCCUUUGUCUAUGAAUGGACUUCCAAUCAUCGUGGAAGCAUCAGCGCAGAGCAUGGCUUGGGAUUGAUGAAAGCCAACAAGAUCUUUUACAGCAAGUCACCUGAAAUUGUACAAAUCAUGGCUUCUAUCAAGAAAUUGCUGGACCCUCGUGCCAUACUCAACCCCUAUAAAGUUCUGCCGCACUCCCUCCGUUCUUAACCCGAGCCAGGUUCUCUACUCGUCUCUUCUUAUCAUGAAUAAAUGUCUCGAGUGUUUACAGUUUUAGAAAAGCAUUUGAUAGCUGCUUGUGAAGUAAAUAAUCCACAACAAAGUUAACAAAUAUUGCUUUAGAAUUCUGAAGGGAUGUUGUAGGCAGCCAAUCAUAAAAUUAAGAUGCAACUCUAUGGUUUAGAGCUUCGGUUUAUUAUAUAUAUCAGACAUUAACUGAUUGUAUUAUAUAGUGAAGUACCUGCCAUGUUUGAGUCUUCAUUAUUUAACUUUGGUAUAUGUAAAAAUAGCUUGAAACGUAUAGUUGAAAUAACUUCGAUCAUGUUUAUGUUGUUAUCUUCUGUUUUUAAAUUU